GGCAGCCUGGCUCCGGGUGCUCGGUUCCCGGCCGAGCCUGGGAGGCUGCGGGCUGAUCCGUGAUGGCUCCGUCUGGUGGGGCUGUCCCCGCACCGUCCUCUCGCUUCCCGACAGGCCCUGCUCUCAGCCACAUUUCGUCUGAGCUCAGCAUACAGAGGGUCCCUAAAAAUAGCAGCUACUCCUCAAGAAAAUGGCUCUGGAGAGGCUGCAGGGAAGGGGCUGAGAGUCCCCGCCCCAGGCAGGGGUUCCGCAGGGGUCGUACUAUGUUCAGGUGGCAGCUUAAGAAGGCCCAUGCGCAGCCUUGGAGGGUUGAAUGAAUUAGAAAGCUGAAGGAAAUGGUGUGAGAUGAGCGGAGUUUGCUUCAGACUGAAAGCGCGCACGGUCCUGUUUGGUGUUUAAGACGAGGACCGGCAGAGGAAGCCGCUCACAGACUGAAUGCACAGCACAAGUGAUUUGAAAGCUCCUGGCCCUUUGCCACAAGCAUGGACAUUGCUGCUUCAGUGAAUGUGUCUCUCCAUUGGAAGGGAAGGGAAAAAAAAUGUUAAGGGUAGGAUGCACCAUGGAGCUGCCCGCAUCCUUCGAGAGACAAAAACAGAGAGGGCUUGAGGAACAAGCUUGUGAAGAAUAUCAGAGGGGGAGCCACUCAGCUCAGAGAUGGCGUUCCUCAAAGGUUGGCAGCGUAUAUACACCUCCUGGACAGCAUGGGCAAAGAUUGCCUUGUGACCUUGAGGUGCCCCGUUUCACUCACUGAAGCCACUGCAUGACUUAAAGGCAGGAAUCCAAACAGCCUGCUUCAAACUGAGCUGUGAGGAUUGCUCUGAUAGCCAGUGUUUCCUGCCCGCAGCCGACAGCACCUUCAACAUAGCAAGGUGUAGCUCACACACUGGUGGAUAAAUAGGACCUGGCAAGAGAAAUCAGGGGAAUGAUUCCCCUGGAGGGCCACUGGAUCCAAUUGCUGCCUGCAAAAGGUCCCAAAGUGCUGCAGCAGAGCAAUGCGCUAUGGGUUGUGGGAGCAGAACAGAAAACACGUUCCUGGAAGCAGCCAGCAACACCAAAAGAUGGCAGCUAUAUAGAAGUAAAAGACAUUACCUGUAGGGCAGUGAAGUGGAACCAGCAUGGUGGUGACGGUGACCAUGACCACGAGUGACCAUGCUCAUAGUCAGAAUUACUGCAGCUGAGUGGAUAUACGAAGCCCACAAGUCAUGUCUCGAACAUUUACUCUUAAGAUGGACUGCCAGGGGAUGGAGGAAAGGAAAUCUAUUUUCCUGCUAUAUAUGUGGCUGGUGUCUGAGCAGCAUGUGCAGAGGGCUGAUUUUUCACUCCAUCCUUUAGCCUGGCCUUUGCUUGAAAACUGCAGAAGGAAACCAAGGAUGAAUUAUGCUUCUGUGAAAACAUUCAGUGCACAUCUCUAAUCUGGCAAGACAGAGUAACACUUCAAGGAGAAUCCCAGAGCUGAAAAGAAACAAGAGCUAGUUAUGAGGUACCAUUAGGUACAGACCUUGCACAGAAGUAUUUACUAGGCUAGAAUAAUUUAAAGUUCUCAUUUAAACUACUUGGUUUAGAGAAAAAAAACAAAAACCAAACCUCAUUUUAAGCUGACUGCUGGUGUCUAAAGUUCAUUUGAAAAACUGCUCUUGCAAGCUGGCUGAAAAAUUACAACGAAAUGGAAGUGCCUGGUGCUGGAGACUUGCAUGUCUGUCCAAGUGGGGAGGUGUCCUUUACAAUGCUUUCAUGGGCAAAAAGACCAGUUAAGAAAACAAAGGCCAGAUCCUGUUCAUGCUUAGACAGGUAUAGAGCUUCAAGACCUGCCUGCUACAAUCUGUCUCCAUUCUCAAACCAAGCCUGCAGCCCCUUACCAUCCUUGCAUCUGAGCCUGUGCUCGUGCAUCCCCAGUGUACCCUUCUUCAAACCAGCUGUUGCAGGCUCUUCCUGGCACUGUCCCGUGUCCCAACAUCCACAGUGAAAAAGAGCUCCAGCUGUGCAAAGCUCAAUCCAAAAGCUGCCAGCACAGCCUGAGCCUUUGCACAAUUCACCCUAUUUAAAAAUGUGCACCUUUGAGCAAGAUAAAUUUAGACUGGUAAUGAUCUCCCAGGCUUGUGGCUUCUCUUUUUUUUGUCUGAUACUAUAAAGAGUUCUUUGGUGAGAGAAAUCUUCUCCUUAAAUAUUUUUAAUCAGGAUCAGAUCCUUCUUUUUUCCUAAAUAAACGGAAGAACCUGAGCUAGUAUUGAAUAGUGUUUUGCUAAGGAGAGGUCCGUGUGGCACCAACACAAGUAAAAAGGAUGGCACCAAGGAUGGCUUCCCAGUUACAGUUAUUCUUUGAGAUUUUGUAUAGUCACAUCCAAGUCUGUUCCCAUGGUUUCAGUUAGACUGCAUAAACAGGACACCUGUAUUUCUCUCUUGGCUUCCUAGGACUAUGCUGUCAACAUGCAGGACUCGGGCAACAUACCCUACAGACUCAACAUGCCCCUCAGAGUGAUCAGGUGCAGGUCCCACUGGUGUCCAGCAAUCCUGUUGGAGCCACUGAGGGUCUUGCCCAGAUCUUUCUCUGGAUGACCCUUCCUGUAUGUCAGGCAAAGUUUCCAAGAAGAAAAUAUCAAAGCCUGAUGUUCACCAACUCUUGUGGAUACUUCGACACUACUGUUGUCUUGGAAGCCUCCAGCAGUACCCAGAUACAGCUUUGCACAUAAAACAGACUGAUGGAAGGGCUCAGGCUGAUGUAGCUACUCUGAAGGUCAAAUCCCUUCUUCCUCAUCACUCUAAGCCACAGCCCUGUGCCAGCACAGAGCCUUGCUAACUCUCCUUACAGGCUUCUGCAGCUCAGAACUCCACCAGUUAGACCUUGGCCUGGGUCAGGAUAUGACCUUUGUGCUCUAUGCAGCUCGAGAGCCUGUGGCUCCCCUUGCUCAGAGAGCUGCUGCUGAGGGAGAGGUACUUGGACAAACAGUGAUGAUAAGGGAAAGAACGUAUGGCUUUGCUGGCUCAGCACUGGAGGUGGCUUUUACCACACCUGCCUGCAGAGAAGGCAGAAAUGUUUGUCUUGGGAAAGAGGAGGAGAUGGAAGG